AACGAACGCUGGCGGCAUGCCUAACACAUGCAAGUCGAACGAGACCUCCGGGUCUAGUGGCGCACGGGUGCGUAACGCGUGGGAACCUGCCCUUAGGUUCGGAAUAACUCCUCGAAAGGGGUGCUAAUACCGGAUAAUGUCUUCGGACCAAAGAUUUAUCGCCUUUGGAUGGGCCCGCGUUGGAUUAGCUAGUUGGUAGGGUAAAAGCCUACCAAGGCGACGAUCCAUAGCUGGUCUGAGAGGAUGAUCAGCCACACUGGGACUGAGACACGGCCCAGACUCCUACGGGAGGGAGCAGUGGGGAAUAUUGGACAAUGGGCGAAAGCCUGAUCCAGCAAUGCCGCGUGAGUGAUGAAGGCCUUAGGGUUGUACAGCUCUUUUACACGGGAUGAUAAUGACGGUACCGGGAGAAUAAGCACCGGCUAACUCCGUG
rnacentral:rRNA from 1 species